GCAUGGCAAGAACGAUUAUCCCGAUUUACAGAUGAAGGAACUUAACAAGCAUCUUCCCCAAUUCCUUUAUACUUCUGGCAAGAAAAGUAAAGCUGAAUGUCUAAAUAAUGCCUACACAUAAAUAUUAAAAUAAGACAAACAAUUCAAUAAGAAAUAGGGAAAUCCAUGGGCAGAUGUUCUGCAGAUGAAACACAUGGCUUGCAAACAUUCAAAGAGGUGUUGAACAUUAUCAGGGAGCCGGGAAAUGCAAUUAAGGCCAGAAUGGGGUACCAAUUCCCAUGGCUUUUUCAGGCAAAAAUGUAAAAAUCAAUCUAUACCAAGAGAUAAAAUAGAGCCUCAGGAUCUGUAUGUUGCUGAUAGAAAUGUGAAUUUAGAAAAAUUUGACAUUCUCUACUAAAGUUGAAAUUAAUAUAUCCUGUGACCCAGAAAUUUCACUCCUACAUAUAUCCUCAAAAUACAUUCUUAUACAUCAACAAGAGACAUGUGCAAAAAUGUUUGCAUCAGCAUUUUCACAGUAGCAAAAAAUCUAGAAACAAUUCAAAUGUCCAUCAACAUGAGAGUGAAUUAAUUCAUCGCAUAAAAAUUCACUUAAUGGAAUAUUAAGUAGAGUUUAAAUGAAUGGAUUAUAAAAACAUAUGUCAAUAUGGGUGAAUCUUAGCAGUAUAAUACCAACUGACUAAAAAGCAAAUCUCAAGGUAAAUAAGUUGAUAGAGAAAGGAAAGCUAAGGAAUGACGAGAUUUGGAGGGAGAGAGUCAGGAGUGUGGGAAUUUGGAGGAAUUCCAUAGGGGUAGUGUGGCAGGCAGAAUUCUUAAAUGUCCGCAGGUGACCCACACUCUUGUAUAAUCACUUCCCCUUAAGUGUAGGUGGGAUCUGUAACUUUCUCCUAACCAAUACAAUGUGACAAAGGUGAUGGGGUAUCCCUUCUGUAAUUAAGUCCUGUUGUAUGGUAAAGAUGAAGGAAUUUUGAAGAUGUAAUUAAAGCCCCUAACAAUUGGAUUUAAAUAAUCAAAAGAUAAAUUACCCUGGGUGGGGCUUACCUAAUCAGGAGAGCCCUUAAAAUGAGUUUAGAAGUCAGGUACUUAAAGCAGCAGAAACUCUUUCUCUUCAUUGCUGAUUUUUUUUUUUACUUUUAAUUUAAGUUCAGGGGUAUAUAUGCAGGGGUGUGAUAUAGGUAAAAUCGUGUCACAGAGGUUUGUUGUACAGAUUAUUUCAUCACCUAGGUAUUAAGCCUAGUAUCUUUUAGUUAUUUUUCCUGACCCUCUCCCUCCUCCCAUUCUCCAUCCUCCAGAAGGCCUCAGUGUCUGUUGUUCCCCUCUAUGUGUCCAUGUGUUCUCAUCAUUUGGCUCCCACUUGCAAGUGAGAACAUGCAAUAUUGGUUCUCUGUUCCUGUGUUAGUUUUCUAAGGAUAAUGGUCUCCAGCUUCGUCAAUGUUCCUGCAAAGGACAUGAUGCUGACUUUGAAGAUGCAAGCUUCCACAUCUACAGCCUCAAGGAAACAAAUUCAGCCAACCAACUGAGGGAGCUUUCCUUGUCCUGCCUCAAGAUGAGAUCACAGUCUGCCCAACACCAUGAUUUAGGCCUUGUGACACCUGAGCUCAGAUGGAAAAGAAUGGUGUUACUGAGACCCUUCAAGAUUCCCAGUGUAAUUCAAUAAAGAAAAGGCAACACAAAGGGGUUGUAUAGAAUUCGCCACAUUAUGGACCCAUGUCAUAGAGAGAAUCCACGGUGCAUUUGUUAGCUGCAUUUAAAUGACAACACUUUCAGAUCCAAGAUUUAUUUGGUAGGCAAAUAUAUCUGGAUGCAGCCUUUUAAACAAUGCCAUUUCACAUCUCCAUUCUGGAAUGGUUUUACACUGAGUGGGAUCCAAAGCUUUAGUGUUUAUCCUUUAGUGGAGUGAGGAUUUUGGGAUCUAAAUUGACUAUUCUCCAACAUGUACUGUUUUAACAUUUAGAAAGUGUCCAUUUUUAGCAAAAUCACAGCUGUGUGAAUGUAACAUAUUGGUGUGGAGGAGGGUUACAUUUCAACUUGCUAUAUUAUAAAAAUAAGAAAAUUACUAACUUUUAGAUCUGGA
rnacentral:lncRNA from 10 species